rnacentral:rRNA from 1 species
AUUGAACGCUGGCGGCAUGCUUUACACAUGCAAGUCGAACGGUAACAGGCCGCAAGGUGCUGACGAGUGGCGAACGGGUGAGUAAUGCAUCGGAACGUGCCCAGUCGUGGGGGAUAACUGCUCGAAAGAGCAGCUAAUACCGCAUACGAUCUAUGGAUGAAAGCGGGGGACCGUAAGGCCUCGGGCGAUGGGAGCGGCCGAUGUCAGAUUAGGUAGUUGGUGGGGUAAAGGCUCACCAAGCCAACGAUCUGUAGCUGGUCUGAGAGGACGACCAGCCACACUGGGACUGAGACACGGCCCAGACUCCUACGGGAGGCAGCAGUGGGGAAUUUUGGACAAUGGGGGCAACCCUGAUCCAGCAAUGCCGCGUGCAGGAAGAAGGCCUUCGGGUUGUAAACUGCUUUUGUACGGAACGAAACGGUCUGGGUUAAUACCCUGGGCUAAUGACGGUACCGUAAGAAUAAGCACCGGCUAACUACGUGCCAGCCGCCGCCGUAAAAC